UGGCCUCUCAUGGGACAGACUGUACGGCCCAGGCUCCUCUGGGCCUGGUCAGCGUGUUUAUUUAUAAGCCCCGGCUGCCUCCAGUGUGCCUGGAUCAGACUGGCUUGUUUGGGUCACCGGUGCCAAGUUUUUUCUUUUUCUUUUUCUCCAAUAAGAAUCUGUGUCUGAGUAUGGACGGAUUCCCAGAAUCAAAUCACUGGAUCAAUACUUGCUCACCAAACACAUUCGAGACCUCAAAAGCUCAAAGGCUGUAGGGUAGGUACCCUUGCUACCUACUCUGCCUACAGACAAAGACACUGAGAAAUCAGACAACUUGUCGAAGGUCAUGGACAGCUGGGACUAGACCCAUGGCUUGUCACACUCCACGAGCCUUAUUCUUAACCUCUCUGCCUAAUGCCUCUUGACCCACAUUCGACUUUGAAAAAGUUUACGCACUUGGUUCAUUGGAAAAAACCACACACAGCUGCCCGGAGGACUCUGUUAAUCAGUAGCUGGUUGCUUUCGGCCCAGUGGGCAACACCAGAGGCAGAAAGUAUAGUACAGAGGGAACCGCAGGCCAGCAGUUGCAUCUGAACCCACGCUCUCCCUCCCAGCCCUUUCCCUUGUCUUCACUCACAGCCUAGUGUCCUCAGUAUCACCCAGCACAUGAGGCAGCCAGUUCACUCCAGCCUUGACCAGGGCCAUCGCGGGAUCAGAGCCUCCUC
rnacentral:lncRNA from 1 species